GGGGGCGGGUUUUGUUUUGCUCCCCCCUCGCAGACACCUUCGCGCGUGGGUUCUCUUUGGCCCCUUAAGACGGUUUCCCGCCCUUUAUUUCCCCCCACGGAGGGGGAAAAACCCACCCAAAACACCUCAGGAGGGAGAGAAAAGUCUUCGCGCUCGAGGAAAAGGCGCGCAUCCUGUCGGGAGGAUGGGCACAUUGUGGAGGCAGAAAGAGAGCUCUGAAUCCUACCCCUCGGAACUGACCCUUUGAAUCCACUGCAGACAGAAUCUGUCAACAGCCGUGAAUGCUAUCCUUGGGAAAAGGGAUAGCUAUAAAAGAAUAAAAUGGAGAAGGCAACAGUGAAAAAAAAAGUGGAUAUUUGUACGUAGUUAUUUCCUAUCUCCAAUCUGAUCUAGUAUAAGGCUGGUUUCCUACAGGCCAAUCUGAAUUAAAAUAUUGUUCAAGUAUUUUCAAAUAUUUCCUCCUGCCUAGCAAGCCCCUGUUGGUGCCCCCACAUGGCUUCCAGUUGUGAUGGAUUAGGCCCAGGCUGAACAAUCUGUUUUAAAAGAAGUUCUAAACUCCAUGGAGUUGUGGCUGGAGUCAUCUCCUGGACUGAAUAUUCAUUGCAGCCAAAAAGCACGUUAUUUCCCACCGUGUAAUGCAAGGUGAC
rnacentral:lncRNA from 11 species